rnacentral:rRNA from 1 species
AACGAACGCUGGCGGCAGGCUUAACACAUGCAAGUCGAACGCACCGCAAGGGGAGUGGCAGACGGGUGAGUAACGCGUGGGAAUCUACUCAGAACUACGGAACAACUGAGGGAAACUUCAGCUAAUACCGUAUACGCUCUACGGGGGAAAGAUUUAUCGGUUUUGGAUGAGCCCGCGUUGGAUUAGCUAGUUGGUGGGGUAAUUGCCUACCAAGGCGACAAGCCAUCGCUGGUCUGAGAGGAUGAUCAGCCACACUGGGAAUGAGACACGGCCCAGACUCCUACGGGAGGAAGCAGGGGAGAAUAUUGGACAAUGGGAGAAAGCCUGAUCCAGCCAUGUCGCGUGAGUGAUGAAGGCCUUAGGGUUGUAAAACUCUUUCAGUGGGGAAUAUAAUGACGGUACCCACAGAAGAAGCCCCGGCUAACUUCGUGCCAGCCGCCGCAGUAACAC